AUGGCUCUCCGGAACUAUCAAUGGAGAGUCUGGCCUGCCCGGUGAACUAAAUUAAACGGCCGCGGUACUCUGACCGUGCGAAGGUAGCAUAAUCAUUUGUCUUAUAAUUGAAGUCUGGAAUGAAUGGUUUAACAAGGGUAAGACUGUCUCUAAUCUUUCGUUAGAAUUUUAUUACUAAGUUAAAAGGCUUAGAUAGAAUUAAAAGACGAGAAGACCCUGUCGAACUUAAGGAAAAUUUAUGUAGUUCUUAACACACGUGAAAAGAGAAUAUAUAAAAAAACUUUGGUUGGGGCGACCCGGGAACAAGAAAAGCUUCCUUAUAAGAAAGGAUCUAUAAAUGAAGACCCACCUAUAGUGAGCAAAAGAAUUAGUUACCGUAGGGAUAACAGCAUUAUCCUUUUUGAGAGUUCAUAUCGAAAAGGGGGUUUGUGACCUCGAUGUUGGACCAGGAUACCCCGAAGAUGUAGAAGUCUUUAACGGUUGGUCUGUUCGACCAUUAAAAUCCUACCUGAUCUGAGUUCAAACCGG
rnacentral:rRNA from 1 species